AGUGAACGCUGGCGGUAGGCCUAACACAUGCAAGUCGAACGGCAGCACAGUAAGAGCUUGCUCUUACGGGUGGCGAGUGGCGGACGGGUGAGGAAUACAUCGGAAUCUACUUUUUCGUGGGGGAUAACGUAGGGAAACUUACGCUAAUACCGCAUACGACCUACGGGUGAAAGCAGGGAAUCUUCGGACCUUGCGCGAUUGAAUGGGCCGAUGUCGGAUUAGCUAGUUGGCGGGGUAAAGGCCCACCAAGGCGACGAUCCGUAGCUGGUCUGAGAGGAUGAUCAGCCACACUGGAACUGAGACACGGUCCAGACUCCUACGGGAGGCAGCAGUGGGGAAUAUUGGACAAUGGGCGCAAGCCUGAUCCAGCCAUACCGCGUGGGUGAAGAAGGCCUUCGGGUUGUAAAGCCCUUUUGUUGGGAAAGAAAAGCAGCAGGUUAAUACCCCGCUGUUCUGACGGUACCCAAAGAAUAAGCACCGGCUAACUUCGUG
rnacentral:rRNA from 1 species